GAUGAACGCUAGCGGCAGGCCUAACACAUGCAAGUCGAGCGGGCAUAGCAAUAUGUCAGCGGCAGACGGGUGAGUAACGCGUGGGAACGUACCUUUUGGUUCGGAACAACUGAGGGAAACUUCAGCUAAUACCGGAUAAGCCCUUACGGGGAAAGAUUUAUCGCCGAAAGAUCGGCCCGCGUCUGAUUAGCUAGUUGGUGAGGUAAUGGCUCACCAAGGCGACGAUCAGUAGCUGGUCUGAGAGGAUGAUCAGCCACAUUGGGACUGAGACACGGCCCAAACUCCUACGGGAGGCAGCAGUGGGGAAUAUUGGACAAUGGGCGCCAGCCUGAUCCAGCCAUGCCGCGUGAGUGAUGAAGGCCCUAGGGUUGUAAAGCUCUUUUGUGCGGGAAGAUAAUGACGGUACCGCAAGAAUAAGCCCCGGCUAACUUCGUGCCAGCCGCCGCCGUAACAC
rnacentral:rRNA from 1 species